ACUGACUCACUCACAGACACACAAUCACUGACAUACACACGCAAUGACGCAGACACACACACUCACUCACUGACACACACACUGACAGACAUACACAAUCACUCAGACUGACACACACUCACUCACUGACACACACACACACACACACACACACACGCCCACUCACAGACACACACACUGACAGACAUACACAAUCACUCAGACUGACAGACACACUCACAGACACAUACUGACAGACACACACAACCACUCAGACACCCAGGCUCCCUCACAGACACACACACCCUCACAGACACACUUACAGAGAGACACACAGGCUCCCUCUGAGACACACACUGACAUACAUACUCACUAUUACUCACAGACACAAACACUCAAUCACAGACACGCACAAUCCCUCAGACACACACUGACAGACAUACACACACACUGACAGCCAGACAGACACACACACACACACACUGCCAGCCAGCCAGACACACACACAUUUACCCCCCAACAUUUACAGAUUAUUUUUUCAUUUUAAUUUAAAUCCACCCUCCCUACCUUUGGGAGACCUGAUUGGAUUUUUCUACCUUGGUUCCAAUGGGGCUGCUGGCGGGGCUGCUCGGGCAGGGAGAGAGGCAGGCGUGCAGGCAGUUGGGCGG